rfam:Myotis lucifugus cont2.27519, whole genome shotgun sequence.
GGCGGUUCUUGGGUGACACACCCCAGAAUCGGGCUCCCUCCUCUCUGGUUCUGGGUGCAUCAUCUGAGAACAGCA